UACGUAGGGGGCAAGCGUUGUCCGGAUUAUUGGGCGUAAAGAGCGUGUAGGCGGCUUUACAGGUCCGUUGUGAAAACUCGAGGCUCAACCUCGAGACGCCGGUGGAAACCGUAAGGCUAGAGUCCGGAAGAGGAGAGUGGAAUUCCAGGUGUAGCGGUGAAAUGCGUAGAUAUCUGGAGGAACACCGGUGGCGAAGGCGGCAUCCUGGACCAACACUGACGCUGAGUGAGCGAAAGCCAGGGGAGCAAACGGG
rnacentral:rRNA from 1 species